rnacentral:tRNA from 1 species
UCCCCAGUGGCUCAGAUGGUAAAGAAUCUGCCUGCAAUGCAGGAGACCCAGGUUCAAUCCCUGGGUCGGGAA